rnacentral:tRNA from 1 species
GAAAGCCCCGGGGGCA